AGUCAUAACACAUGCAAGUCGAGCGCGAAAGUUCUUCGGAAUGAGUAGAGCGGCGGACGGGUGAGUAACGCGUGGGAAAUUGCCCAGUAGUGGGGGACAACAUUCGGAAACGGAUGCUAAUACCGCAUACGCCCUACGGGGGAAAGCAGGGGAUCUUCGGACCUUGUGCUAUUGGAUAUGCCCGCGUCGGAUUAGCUAGUUGGUGAGGUAAUGGCUCACCAAGGCAACGAUCCGUAGCUGGUCUGAGAGGAUGAUCAGCCACACUGGGACUGAGACACGGCCCAGACUCCUACGGGAGGCAGCAGUGGGGAAUAUUGGACAAUGGGCGCAAGCCUGAUCCAGCCAUGCCGCGUGUGUGAAGAAGGCUCUAGGGUUGUAAAGCACUUUCAGUAGGGAGGAAGGCCUUAAAGUUAAUACCUUUGAGGAUUGACGUUACCUACAGAAGAAGCACCGGCUAACUCCGUGCCAGCAGCCGCGGUAAUACGGAGGGUGCGAGCGUUAAUCGGAAUUACUGGGCGUAAAGCGCGCGUAGGCGGUUAGUUAAGCUGGAUGUGAAAGCCCCGGGCUCAACCUGGGAACUGCAUUCAGAACUGGCUGGCUAGAGUACGAGAGAGGGUAGUGGAAUUUCCUGUGUAGCGGUGAAAUGCGUAGAUAUAGGAAGGAACAUCAGUGGCGAAGGCGACUGCCUGGCUCGAUACUGACGCUGAGGUGCG
rnacentral:rRNA from 1 species